AAAUAAGAAGCAAAAAAUUGCAUUUAGUUUCGACCUAAAAAUUUGACUUUAAAGUCCUUAUUUU
rnacentral:tRNA from 1 species